UGCCCAAAGUCUUCAUCCCAGUGAUGGCCAUU
rnacentral:piRNA from 1 species